rnacentral:rRNA from 1 species
CUUACCUACCCUUGACAUGGUCGGAAUCCCGAAGAGAUUCGGGAGUGCUCGAAAGAGAACCGGCGCACAGGUGCUGCAUGGCUGUCGUCAGCUCGUGUCGUGAGAUGUUGGGUUAAGUCCCGCAACGAGCGCAACCCUUGUCCUUAGUUGCUACGCAAGAGCACUCUAAGGAGACUGCCGGUGACAAACCGGAGGAAGGUGGGGAUGACGUCAAGUCCUCAUGGCCCUUAUGGGUAGGGCUUCACACGUCAUACAAUGGUCGGAACAGAGGGUUGCCAACCCGCGAGGGGGAGCUAAUCCCAGAAAACCGAUCGUAGUCCGGAUUGCACUCUGCAACUCGAGUGCAUGAAGCUGGAAUCGCUAGUAAUCGCGGAUCAGCA